rnacentral:ncRNA from 1 species
CUCCUUUCGCUAAGGAGCUUCUUAUGCGAAAACUGACGGCUACUCUGAUAGUUAGCCUGAUAGGGCUGAUCGCGCUGUCCGUGUCGAACACGGCUGCUGCAUGCGGCGAUUCAGCGGGUUCGGAUUAUUCGAGCCCCAAGUAAUUGCCUCGCCCGAAUGCGCUGAGUGCGCAAUAAAAAGGCCUUCAUCUGGCGAUGAAGGCCUUUUACU